GCUUGUUCCACCAUUGGGGUGCCAGAGCAGCAAACAGUUUUGACUGGGCUGAGCGGGAACUGUGCUUCCUCAGAGGUAGGGAGGCGAGCAGGCCAGAGGUGGAUGAACGGAGUGCCCUUGUUUGGGUGUAGGGCCUGAUCAGAGCCUGAAGGUACGGAGGUGCCGUUCCCCUCACAGCUCCGUAGGCAAGCACCAUGGUCUUGUAGCGGAUGCGAGCUUCAACUGGAAGCCAGUGGAGAGAGCGGAGGAGCGGGGUGACGUGAGAGAACUUGGGAAGGUUGAACACCAGACGGGCUGCGGCGUUCUGGAUGAGUUGUAGGGGUUUAAUGGCACAGGCAGGGAGCCCAGCCAACAGCGAGUUGCAGUAAUCCAGACGGGAGAUGACAAGUGCCUGGAUUAGGACCUGCG
rnacentral:lncRNA from 1 species